rnacentral:rRNA from 1 species
GACAGAGGAUGCAAGCAUUAUCCGGAAUGAUUGGGCGUAAAGCGUCUGUAGGUGGCUUUUCAAGUCUGCCGUCAAAUCCCAGGGCUCAACCCUGGACAGGCAGUGGAAACUAACAAGCUGGAGUACGGUAGGGGCAGAGGGAAUUUCCGGUGGAGCGGUGAAAUGCAUUGAGAUCGGAAAGAACACCAACGACAAAAGCACUCUGCUGGGCCGAUACUGACACUAAGAGACGAAAGCUAGGGGAGCAAAUGGG